rnacentral:rRNA from 1 species
CAAAAACAUAGCCCCGUGAAUACCCUUACGAGGUGCUACCUGCUCAAUGAUUACUAAUAACAAACAUAAAUAACAAUAAUUAAAUAGCCGCGGUAACUCUGACCGUGAUAAAGUAGCAUAAUCACUUGUCAUUUAAUUGGUGACUGGAAUGAAUGGUUUAACGAAUCUCUAGCUGUCUCGGUUGAAAAUAUUAACAAAUUUAAAAUAACAGUGAAGAUGCUGUUGUUAAAUUGUAAGACGAAAAGACCCUAUUGAGCUUUACUGGACAAUCUGCAGAAAAUAAUAAUUCGUGAAACAUCACACACAUCACAUAUCUUGCAGAUAAGACAGUUUGGUUGGGGCGACCACCUCUAAAACAGUAACAGAGGUAAUCUAAAGGUAUUAACUUAAUGGUAAUAACUUAACUGCAAUAACUAUAAUUUAACCAGAUAUACAACGUAGGACAUAAUGACCCGUUAAGAUUAACGACCAAUCUUAACGAUAAUAAAAUAAGUUACCAUAGGGAUAACAGGGUAAUAAUUUCAGAGA